GAUGAAGAAAGGAUUCCACAUCUCCUACGAAGCUGCUGAUUUUCCUUCCUCCCUCAGCAGCGACCCCCCCGAACUCCCCACUCACAGGUGUGCACAGGGUCAUUCUCCAUCCCCAGCCACCUGAGCCUAUAGGAGCCGAACUUCCAGACCCAGCUCAGGAUGGAGCCUGUUAGGAUUGGACAGCCCUAGGGGGUGCCAUUCCUAGCACAGUCCGCGAGGACCCUUAGGGUUGUGCAGUCCACACUGAGUUCUGGGAAGGCCUCAUCUGCUUUGUUUAACUCCUGGCUCAGAGCCCUAUCGAAAUACCAGUCUUAUCAUGCUGAUUAAUAACGAUCCAUUGACCUUUUGGAGUGAGCAGCUUUGACCUCCCAGCCCAGCAGGACCCUGAGGGAGAGUAAGGGCUCUUGCAGAAGAGACAGCCCCUGGGGAAGCCCAGCAGCUCGUCCUGCCCCCGCCCUCAGGAAUAGUCCAAGUCACCAGCUCCUAGGGGCCGUGUCGGCUGGCCCCACAGCUCUCUCUGGUGUCACUUGCUUCAUUAUCCUCUCCUGGCAGGGUGUUCCAGAAUAUAAAGGUGACACUGUAAUUGCAUUCAUCUAGCAGAGUCGGAUCCAUUGAAAAUAGCGAGAGGGCUGACAAGUUUUGGCAGCUGCGGGCUCACAGAUCACGAAAACGGGAAUGUCACGUCAGACUCACACCGUGGAUUCCUUUUCCUGCCAAAACGCCUCUUCUAAGCAAUGAGCAAGAAAGCAGCAAGAGGAUGAAGCCAAAAGCCCAUUUGGCAAGAACGCUGUUUUGGAAAAUGAUCAGCAGUGUGGGUUGGGAUGAAGUUUUCUGCGCUUUUCCAUUAUUUCUUCGGCUUCGCGUACCCUGACUGAGCAACGUUCGGCUGACUGAAGGCCGGGUGGCAGACGGACACAGAUUUUUCUCAAAUUUCUUUCUGAGCCAACUUCACACUAUAUAGAGGGAAAAAAAACCCCUUGUUUUCUCUUUUCACUCUUGAGAGGUUUCAUAUGCAGACACAAUUUUAAAUUUCUUUUUUCCACCAUGAGCUGUUUGGAGGGGGAGGCUGGGGGACGGGAAGGAAUCUGCGUUUCUGGAGGGAUUUCUCACCCCAUGCCCAUGCCCUUUCCUGCACUUUCCCCACCCGUAAUUCAAGAAGUGGCUGCAUAGGGCUUUUGCGAAAGAGUGCGUGUGUGUGUGUGUGUGUGUGCGCGUGCAAGACAUAAUACGUAGGGAUGUUCAAAAUGACUACAGUGAAAGCCAAGUUUGGAUUAAUUCUGUGAGAGUAACUAGGCGGAGUCAGGAGUUUUUGGUCUGCUCAGUUUUUAGCUUGUCUAGGUCAGCCAUCCCAUUGAUUGAUUGAUUGACUCAUUCGAGUACUCACCAAAUGCCCAUUGUAGGCAAACACAGGUCUAGG
rnacentral:lncRNA from 1 species